UACGGAGGGUGCGAGCGUUGUUCGGAAUUAUUGGGCGUAAAGCGCACGUAGGCGGCUCUUUAAGUCUCUUGGUGAAAGGCCGGGGCUCAACCCCGUGCAUGCCGGGGAUACUGGGGAGCUGGAGACAGGUAGAGGCCAGCGGAAUUCCGGGUGUAGCGGUGGAAUGCGUAGAGAUCCGGAAGAACACCGGAGGCGAAGGCGGCUGGCUGGACCUGAUCUGACGCUGAGGUGCGAAAGCGUGGGGAGCGAACAGG
rnacentral:misc_RNA from 1 species